rnacentral:lncRNA from 1 species
UCGAAGUCUGCAGACUUUCAUUUUGGAGAUAUAUUUCACUCUGAAUAGUGAAUCAGAGUGGGGUGAAACAUCUGGCUUAUAAAAUGUUUCAAACCUCAAACCACUUUAGAUACUUGGAAAUCAUCUUCUCCACACAUUUAUUAUAAAACAGGAAGAGACCCAGAAAAAAUGCCACUCUGUUUUGAAGAUGGAAAAGUUCUUCUUAAUGCCUCCUGCAUCAUUUCCAAGGGUUAUACCUGUGCUCAGCAGGAUGAGUAUGGAGAAACAGAUCUCAGUCACGUAGCCUGUUGCUGUCUA